UACGUAGGGGGCAAGCGUUGUCCGGAUUUAUUGGGCGUAAAGAGCGUGUAGGCGGCCUGAAAGGUCAGCUGUGAAAACUCGAGGCUCAACCUCGAGACGUCGGUUGAAACCAUCUGGCUAGAGUCCGGAAGAGGAGUGUGGAAUUCCCGGUGUAGCGGUGAAAUGCGCAGAUAUCGGGAAGAACACCCGUGGCGAAGGCGGGUCUCUGGGCCAAAACUGACGCUGAGGAGCGAAAGCGUGGGGAGCGAACAGG
rnacentral:rRNA from 1 species